UUGACAGGGAUAAUGUCCUCAUUGCUGUUAAAACAUACUCAAACGAAAGCUCUGGAGUGUAUGCAGCUCCUGGACUAAGCAUCAUCAAGAUAUUUGGCUGACAUUUCCAGAAAAAGGACAAUGGAAGUUCCUGCAGAACAAGAGACAAUCCUCGUAUCGGCUAUGAUAAUAACUACUCCAACCAUGUGUGAUUGUGUUUCCAAACACUCAGCAUGUGUGUGACAAGACCUCUGCCUUGCGGUUUCCUGCAGCCUAUACUGGGACUCAGAUGCUUCAUGCAUCAACCAUGACAUCUGGAGUUACAGGAGUUUUCCAAAUGCAAGUCACAUCCUUGAAUUUAGGACAGCUUGACAUAAAUAAUUACCAAUUCCAAAAAGUUAACAACACGUAGAAAAUAUUCAGAAUCAUUUGGUGAAAGUACAGAUGGGGAAUAAAAAUAUUCCCUACAAAGAAGUAUAUAAAUUAACAUGACAACAUGAAGUGCCCCUGUGGAGUGAGAACUGCAGUAUUGUAAGUGAUAUCCAUGGACUAAUCAUAGAUCCUGAAAGCUAAAUAAGAGUAUUCGUGUUUUGGAGUAAACAAUAAAUGAGACAAGUUUUAUCUUAA